UUGGGGAAUUCAAUUUUCCUACCUAUCAGAAAAUUUAGUAGUGUGGCCUAAAUGAUGAGUUUACACCAUGAUGAGUUUCUGGUACCAACGUUCUUAUUCAGUUUUAUAAUUAACAAUACAUGUCCAUGUCAGAUUAAGCUUGUCAACGAUUCUAUCUUGUCCUACUUGCCACUAUUUGAUAUGCUUGAAAUUUCUACAUCAGGGCCUAGCAUAUACAAACCUUGAUAUCACACAAAGCGCUC
rnacentral:lncRNA from 1 species